rnacentral:lncRNA from 10 species
UAGAUGAUUGCUCCACAUCCAGCACCUAACACCAGUACUCAGUUAAAUUUUUUGCUGAAUAAAUCAAUGAAUGGAGAGGUAAAGAGGAACCAGAAGUUGGGGUUACAGAAGUCACUGAUGGAAGAGUUUCAAGAUAGUAGAAGUGGUCAGCCCUGUUAAGUGACAAGCCAAGGACUGAAGAAAGACUGGCAGAUUUGGCAAUCAGAUGAAGUGACCUGACCAAAGAGCAGCUUGUGUGAAGUAGUGAGGACAGGCGCUGGUCUGCGACUGGUUUAGGAGGAAAUGGAAAUGAAGAAGAAGAGAUAGAGUCUCGCUCAGUUUCCAGGCUGGAGUGUAAUGGCGUGAUCUUGGCUCACUGCAACCUCUGCCUCCCAGCUUCAAGUGAUUCCCCUGCUUUAGCCUCCCAAGCAGCUGGGACUACAGGCAUGCACCAGCAUGGCCGGCUAAUUUUUUUUUGUAUUUUAGUACAGAUGGGGUUUAACCAUGUUGGCCAGGAUGAUCUUGAUCUCCUGACCUCGUGAUCUGCCCACCUCGGCCUCCCAAAGUGCUAGGAUUACAGGCGUGAGCCACCUUGCCCGGCCUUCUAUUCCUUUUUCUAAUGCAUUUGCCCCAGCUAUCUGUAUAGCCUGCAAUCUGGUAGAUGGACCACAGG